rnacentral:tRNA from 1 species
GAGCUUAUGGCUCAGUGGUAGAGCACUUGCCUUGCAUGUAUGAAGUCCAAGUUUAAAACUUGCAGGACCA